rnacentral:rRNA from 1 species
UACGUAGGGGGCAAACGUUAUCCGGAUUUACUGGGUGUAAAGGGAGCGUAGACGGCCAUUCAAGCCAGAUGUGAAAGCCCGGGGCUCAACCCCGGGACUGCAUUUGGAACUGUAUGGCUGGAGUGUCGGAGAGGCAGGCGGAAUUCCUAGUGUAGCGGUGAAAUGCGUAGAUAUUAGGAGGAACACCAGUGGCGAAGGCGGCUUUCUGGACUGAAACUGACGCUGAGGCACGAAAGCGUGGGGAGCGAACAGG